AACGAACGCUGGCGGCGCGCCUAACACAUGCAAGUCGAACGCGAAAGUGUAGCGAAUACAUGAGUAAAGUGGCGCACGGGUGAGUAACGCGUAGGUGAUCUACCUCUGCAACUGGGAUAACCAGCCGAAAGGUUGGCUAAUACUGGAUAGAGCGGACUUGUUCGUAAGGAUGAGUUCGGGAAAGGGUGGCGUAGCAAUACGCUACCGUGCUGAGAUGAGCCUGCGUCUCAUUAGCUAGUUGGUAGGGUAAAAGCCUACCAAGGCGAUGAUGGGUAGCUGGUCUGAGAGGACGAUCAGCACACUGGAACUGAAACACGGUCCAGACUCCUACGGGAGGCAGCAGUGGGGAAUCUUGCGCAAUGGACGAAAGUCUGACGCAGCGACGCCGCGU
rnacentral:rRNA from 1 species